CAAUAGCGUAUAUUAAAGUUGUUGCAGUUAAAAAGCUCGUAGUUGGAUUUCUGGGAGGGUGCCAAUGUCCGCCGACGUGCGUGCGCAGCGGCGCCCUUCCAUCCUUCUGUUAACGCCUCUUGGCAUUCAUUUGCUGGUGGCGGGCUCAGAUAUUUUACCUUGAGAAAAUUAGAGUGUUUCAGGCAGGCUAGGCCGGAAUACAUUAGCAUGGAAUAAUGGAAUAGGACUACGGUCUCUUUGUUGGUUUGAGGGACUGCAGUAAUGAUUAAUAGGGAUAGUUGGGGGCAUUAGUAUUUAAUUGUCAGAGGUGGAAUUCUCGGAUUUGUUAAAGACUAACUUAUGCGAAAGCAUUUGCCAAGGAUGUUUNCAUUAA
rnacentral:rRNA from 1 species